AAUCUACCUGAAAUCCAGCGGAGAAUGCAAAUUUUAAAAAUUUGACACAGUGGAGCACCCAAAGACAAACCCAUGCUGAUUGACGUUAAUUAUUGAUUUUACUGCAAAAAAUAAUUUACUUUUAACAGAACACUAAAAAUUUUUCGAAAUAGUAGUAAGUUUAGAAAUAGGCCUGUAAUUGGAGACUACAUCCUUUCUACCACCUUUAAGUAUAGUGCAUUAGUCAAUUUCCAGUCUGAAAUAAAAUUCCCAGAGAGAGACUUAUUGAAUAGGAUGGAGCGAUUUUAUUAAUUUUUGAUUUCUGUUUCGGUAUACCUGUAGAAAGUUGCUGUUUUAGGUAAAUAUUAAACACAAGAAAAGACAGUAAUCCCAUGCUAUGUUUAGAGGUGCCCCCAUUGACUUGAAAUUUUGAAAAUUUAUGCCAAAUACUCAUAAAUUCGCAAACAUUUUAUAAACGUUAUUUCAUGUUCUAAGCGAUGCUAUGUCAGAGUAAGAUAGAAAUUAAUGCUCUUAAAACAUAUAUACCACUAUCUAACCAUAUUAUAAUAACAUAGCUACGUUCCGCACUUUAAUUUCACAUUCCUAAUUUCACACUCCAAAACUUCCCCCAUUCUAUAUGUUAUGCUAAUUUUCCCAGGCACUCACUUUCCACAAUACCAGGCCGACAAUAUCCAAAUAACGGUAGAUUUAAGUAAGCAACUGACAGCGAUCUGUCAAUUCUGUACAGUCUUAAGUUUGAAGUUGAAUAAAGUGGUUUGAUUUAAAAAAAGUAAAAAAACUUAAGUUGACACCUAUACUUUUUAGUCGCGCGCUUACAGCAGCUCAAUUGUUCGACUUUCAUUUAUUUGUUACAUCAAAUUUUACAGCUGGAAUCGGAAUAUUUACUAUAAAUCGUAUUUUUCACGUAUAUUUGAUGCUUGUAGCUUAGCUUAUAACUGUAAUUAGUACUUAUUACUUGCCUUGAUUGUAGAAAUAUGUCUCAAGUUAAAGCACGAUAAACGACGAGAUGUCCUGUCUCUGGUAUGCCGGAGAAGUUAUAUGUUUCUCACUUACCUACGCAUAAUGAUCUGAUGAAAUGUUAUCUGUUCAUAAAACAUGAAUUGAAGCCCGAUAAAACAACAAUGGAGCCAACAAUUCUUAAUAUAUCUGAAAGAUCAGGGGGUGAAGUUCUAAAAAUAUGGCGAAAAUCUUCACUGCCAACUGUUAGUGUAAAAAGAAUUUUACAAUUGAUUCGUUCCUACCACGACAUAUACAGGAGCUUAAUGAAACCAUAUCAAGGCCAUUAAACCAACAUUAAAUACCAAGAAAAUAUUAGAACAUUUAUAACAGAGUCCCAUAGAUUAUUUAGGCGGGUAUUGUCACUUGCGAAGCGAAUGAAAAUUUUGGCGAGUUUCGCCGUGGCGAAUUGUAAGUUACGAAUCUGUAACGAAUUCGCCAGAAAAUGGCGAACGAGUGGCGAAAAUAAAUUUCUGGUAUUGCCGCUGGCGAAAAAACGGCAUUCGCUUCGACAUUACUGUCAAAAUUUAACGAAUGCAUUUUUUAUUCGCUAUUUGAAAUGGAAAGGACAACAAAACGUACAACAACGCAGCAAUUCCAAAAAUUGGUUGCGUUAAUGGAAAAUAAUCCGGACGUCGCCAGAGGAAUGGGGAAUUUUGGAGCGACAAAGAAAAGCAGGGCAGAGCAAUGGGACCUGUUCGCUGCCGAACUCAAUGCCAUUGGUCUACCAUUGCGAAACGGGCGCGAGUGGAAUAAGGUUUGGUUGGAUUAUAAACAGAAACUAAAAAAAAAAAA